GAUGAAGAACGUAGCGAAAUGCGAUAAGUAAUGUGAAUUGCAGAAUUCAGUGAAUCAUCGAAUCUUUGAACGCACCUUGCACCCUUUGGCAUUCCGAAGGGUAUGCUCGUUUGAGUGUCAUUGUACUCUCACACUCCCGAUCUUUGGAUUGGGAGCGGUGGACUUGGGUUUGCUGCUUGCCGUGGCUCACCUCAAAUGGAUUAGUGCAACUCUUGGUUGACCAUAGUACGGCGUGAUAAGUGUCUUCGCCGGCACCUCACUGGGUGGGCCGAUCGGGAGCUCUGUGCUUCAAACCGUCUUCGGACAAUCUUUGACAACUUGACCUCAAAUCGAGUAGGACUACCCGCUGAACUUAAGCAUAUCAAUAAGCGGAGGA
rnacentral:misc_RNA from 1 species